rnacentral:rRNA from 1 species
GACGAACGCUGGCGGCGUGCCUAAUACAUGCAAGUUGAGCGCUGAAGGUUGGUACUUGUACCAACUGGAUGAGCAGCGAACGGGUGAGUAACGCGUGGGGAAUCUGCCUUUGAGCGGGGGACAACAUUUGGAAACGAAUGCUAAUACCGCAUAAAAACUUUAAACACAAGUUUUAAGUUUGAAAGAUGCAAUUGCAUCACUCAAAGAUGAUCCCGCGUUGUAUUAGCUAGUUGGUGAGGUAAAGGCUCACCAAGGCGAUGAUACAUAGCCGACCUGAGAGGGUGAUCGGCCACAUUGGGACUGAGACACGGCCCAAACUCCGACGGGAGGCAGCAGUAGGGAAUCUUCGGCAAUGGACGAAAGUCUGACCGAGCAACGCCGCGUGAGUGAAGAAGGUUUUCGGAUCGUAAAACUCUGUUGGUAGAGAAGAACGUUGGUGAGAGUGGAAAGCUCAUCAAGGGACGGUAACUACCCAGAAAGGGACGGCGAACUACGU